rnacentral:rRNA from 1 species
CCUACGGGUGGCAGCAGUGAGGAAUAUUGGUCAAUGGACGCAAGUCUGAACCAGCCAUGCCGCGUGAAGGAAGACGGCCCUAUGAGUUGUAAACUGCUUUUGUACGAGGAUAAACGCAGAUACGUGUAUCUGUCUGAAAGUAUCGUACGAAUGAGGAUCGGCUAACUCCGUGCCAGCAGCCGCGGUAAUACGGAGGAUUCAAGCGUUAUCCGGAUUUAUUGGGUUUAAAGGGUGCGUAGGCGGUCGGAUAAGUUAGAUGUGAAAUCCCGAGGCUCAACCUCGGAAUUGCCUUUGAUACUGGUCGUCUUGAGAGUAGUUGCGGUAGGCGGAAUGUAUGGUGUAGCGGUGAAAUGCUUAGAGAUCACGCAGAACACCGAUUGCGAAGGCAGCUUACCAGGCUACUUCUGACGUUGAGGCACGAAAGCGUGGGGAGCAAACAGGAUUAGAUACCCUAGUAGUC